UACGUAGGGUGCAAGCGUUGUCCGGAAUUAUUGGGCGUAAAGAGCUCGUAGGCGGUCUGUCACGUCGGCUGUGAAAACCCGGGGCUCAACCCCGGGCCUGCAGUCGAUACGGGCAGACUAGAGUGUGGGAUGGGAAAGUGGAAUUCCUGGUGUAGCGGUGUAAUGCGUAGAUAUCAGGAGGAACACCGGUGGUGUAGACGGCUUUCUGGACCAUAACUGACGCUGAGACACGAAAGCGUGGGUAGCAAACAGG
rnacentral:rRNA from 1 species